rnacentral:rRNA from 1 species
CCUACGGGAGGCAGCAGUGAGGAAUAUUGGUCAAUGGACGAGAGUCUGAACCAGCCAAGUAGCGUGAAGGAUGACUGCCCUAUGGGUUGUAAACUUCUUUUAUCUGGGAAUAAAAUGUUCCACGUGUGGGAGUUUGUAUGUACCAUAUGAAUAAGGAUCGGCUAACUCCGUGCCAGCAGCCGCGGUAAUCCGGAGGAUCCGAGCGUUAUCCGGAUUUAUUGGGUUUAAAGGGUGCGUAGGUGGACUGUUAAGUCAGUUGUGAAAGUUUGCGGCUCAACCGUAAAAGUGCAGUUGAAACUGGCAGUCUGGAGUACGGUAGAGGUAGGCGGAAUGCGUGGUGUAGCGGUGAAAUGCUUAGAUAUCACGAAGAACUCCGAUUGCGAAGGCAGCUUACUGGACUGCAACUGACGCUGAGGCUCGAAAGUGUGGGUAUCGAACAGGAUUAGAUACCCCUGUAGUC